rnacentral:rRNA from 1 species
UACGUAGGCAGCGAGCGUUGUUCGGAGUUACUGGGCGUAAAGGGUGUGUAGGCGGUUCUUCAAGUCUCUCGUGAAAUCCCUCGGCUUAACCGGGGAACUGCGUCCGAUACUGGAUGGCUUGAGUUCGGGAGAGGGAUGCGGAAUUCCAGGUGUAGCGGUGAAAUGCGUAGAUAUCAGGAGGAACACCGGUGGCGAAGGCAGGUCUCUGGGCAUUAACUGACGCUGAGGAGCGAAAGCAUGGGGAGCGAACAGG